UUCAAAGACAGACGUUUUACGUAAACACU
rnacentral:sRNA from 1 species